CACAGUCUCUUGCGAAAGUUAGAGAGCAAGUGGGAGACACAACAAACUGAUUUCUGGUAGAAACGAUGAAUGGCCAUAAUAGCCUUCUUCCUGACGGCUGCUGUGGAAUGACUCAACAUCUCGAUCACCUGCGGCACCACAGCUGGGAUAGCUUCUUCAUUGAUCAAUUUACAAGCAGCAUUAAGGGCAGCACAGACGACCAAAUAAUUGUCAGACUUGAGGUUCUUCUGGAUUGUAUUGACGUUCAUUCUUACAAACCAGGCUAUUAAGAAUAUAAUCACCACCAAGGAUUUUCGUCGAGCAGGGGUUAGGUGUGGUUCGCUUCGGAUUUUCGCUAUUGAAUAUCCAGGUCUGGGGGCAUCGAUCAGAUUCAGAGCUCAAUUUACCUUAUCAUUUCUAUUUCGUGCCCAAAAGCUCUCAGAGUCUCUGGCAUGUGUGCUUGUGAUUGCCUAGUUUGUUCUUGUGAAUCCUGUUUGGAGAUUUUACCAUGCAUCUUGCAGCGUUUGGACGUCACAUAUUACAUAUAUAUUAUAGUUAUGUGCCCAGAGCGACACUCAUAAUCUCAAAUACUUGGGGCAACGAUGCUCUUGGUCGGCUAAUAAAAUCAAGUCCGCAAAUUGCAGAACAACACCAACUGGCUGUCAUUGACUGCUUAGAGAACCCUGAUGAUACUCUGAAGCGAAAAACAUUUGAACUGUUAUAAAAAAUGACAAAGUCCUCCAAUGUCUUCAACGAUAACUAACGAUGGCUACUGAUUGCGAGCCAUGAAUAGGGUUUUUGAUCAUGCUGGAGAUCUUGUGAAUGAUUAUCAAGGUGGCACAUAAUUUAAUGCGAUUGAUUGCAAAAGGUUUUGGAGAAGAUGUUGCUGCUGCAGAUAGUCAACGGAGAUCAUCAGCUAUAUUGCAAAAGCUUUUGGAUUAUUGCACUGUUUUUUUCAAAAUAUUUACUACAAAGAUGCAUGUCGCCAUAAGUUAUUUAUGGGAGCUUCUUUCUGAAGUGGAGGUUGAGUCAUAUUUGCGUGCCAUUGGGGAGCCGAAGCUUCCAUCUAUGUUUCUUUAAGUACUUACUAUCUUACUUAGGUUUUUGCAUUUCUGUACUUGUUAUAUUUUGCAAAGAAAUUAGACUUGUUCCAUGGCAUAAUCUUAAAUACUGAUUGCAAGUCAUUUGUUGGGUUCUGAGUGAUUAUGGCACAGCUGCUGGACAGUGUUCUGCUUCCUAUAUCGCUGCAAAGUUAUGUGACAUGGCAGAGGCAUUUCUAAUAAUGAAAGUAAUUCCUUAUUAAGAUGUUUUUCUCAAGAAAAAUAAUCAAUGAGACCUCAAUUGUCCUUGGAUGGUUUGUAGUAAAUGCUUUUGCAUUUUACAUUAUGGAAAUAUUUUCUUCUCAUUGUCUGUAUUAAUAUACAGUAUAUGGUGCACUCGUGAGUGGACAAUUCUUGUUUGGCAUUUUUAUCAGCCUAGAAAAAUACAUGCCUUGACAAGCACAUUGUUCUAUAACUUCUCUGAUGAAUUUAAUCGUGUGUGCAAGUGCUAUAGUGAUUUUUCUAUUUAUCUGAUGACUUGAUUCCAAUUAAGGGUGUCAUUGGAUUUGUUGGCAUAGGUUU